AUUCUACUUCCUCCGUCCCAUAUUAAGUGUCUCAAAUUUGUCUAAAUAUAGAUGUAUCUAUAACUAAAAGGCGUUUAGAUACAUGUAAUAUUUUGACACUUAAUAUGGAACGGAGGGAGUAGAAC
rfam:Brachypodium distachyon strain Bd21 chromosome 2, whole genome shotgun sequence.